rnacentral:RNase_MRP_RNA from 2 species
UACAGUCACCGAAUAGUAACACGACGCAGCAUACAGACGAAUGGAAUUAUUCCAUUAUAUCUCACGCUGUGGGGAAAGUCCCCGGACCGACGGACACCCAUUUGUACAUAAUUGGAGAGCUCACCAAUUGGUGAUUUUGAUGGGGUCCGGUGUAGAAGUUUGCUAGUACUCCAGUUGGAGUGCAGCUAUAGGCUUCUGCAUUGAAUGUCUACGCAACUGAUAAAUGGCGAAGAUACGAGCCCACAUUGGAUGUGUAGACAGCAAUAGAUUGUCGCAUAAGAAAGUUAUAGUGUUGGCUGUGCUACAGCAACAGAAUGGGGCUUACAAUUGGUGUUUACUGU